rnacentral:rRNA from 1 species
UAGGAAGGGGGCUAGCGUUGUUCGGAAUGACUGGGCGUAAAGCGCACGUAGGCGGAUUGGUCAGUUGGGGGUGAAAUCCCGGGGCUCAACCUCGGAACUGCCUCCAAUACUGCCAAUCUUGAGUUCGGGAGAGGUGAGUGGAAUUCCUAGUGUAGAGGUGAAAUUCGUAGAUAUUAGGAAGAACACCAGUGGCGAAGGCGGCUCACUGGCCCGAUACUGACGCUGAGGUGCGACAGCGUGGGGAGCAAACAGG